CUAAUACUCCCUCCGUCCGAAAAUACUUGUCGGACAAAUGAAUGUAUCUACAUGUGUUUUAAUUAUAGAUACAUCUAUUUUUAUCCAUUUUUCCGACAAGUAUUUUGAGACGGAGCGAGUAUAUA
rfam:Triticum aestivum genome assembly, contig: Triticum_aestivum_CS42_TGACv1_scaffold_032360_1BL